GUGGGGAAUAUUGGGCAAUGGGCGAAAGCCUGACCCAGCAACGCCGCGUGAAGGAAGAAGGUUUUCGGAUCGUAAACUUCUAUCCUUGGUGAAGAUAAUGACGGUAGCCAAGAAGGAAGCCCCGGCUAACUACGUGCCAGCAGCCGCGGUAAUACGUAGGGGGCAAGCGUUGUCCGGCAUGAUUGGGCGUAAAGGGCGCGUAGGCGGCCCGGUAAGUCUGAAGUGAAAGUCCUGCUUUUAAGGUGGGAAUUGCUUUGGAUACUGUCGGGCUUGAGUGCAGGAGAGGUAAGCGGAAUUCCCGGUGUAGCGGUGAAAUGCGUAGAGAUCGGGAGGAACACCAGUGGCGAAGGCGGCUUACUGGGAUGCAACUGACACUGAUGCACGAAAGCGUGGGUAUCAAACAGGAUUAGAAACCCCAGUAGUCC
rnacentral:rRNA from 1 species